AGAAUCAACGCUGGCGGCGUGCCUAACACAUGCAAGUCGCACGAGAAAGGGACUUCGGUCCUGAGUAAAGUGGCGCACGGGUGAGUAACACGUGAAUCAUCUACCUCCGAGUGGGGAAUAACCUAGAGAAAUCUGGGCUAAUACCGCAUAACACUUACGAGUCAAAGCAGCAAUGCGCUUGGAGAGGAGUUCGCGGCAGAUUAGUUAGUUGGCGGGGUAAUGGCCCACAAGACGAUGAUCUGUAUCCGGCCUGAGAGGGCGCACGGACACACUGGAACUGAAACACGGUCCAGACUCCUACGGAGGCAGCAGUGGGGAAUUUUGCGCAAUGGGGGAAACCCUGACGCAGCAACGCCGCGUGGAGGAUGAAAUAUCUUGGUAUGUAAACUCCUUUCGAUGGGGAAGAUAAUGACGGUACCCAUAGAAGAAGCCCGGCUAACUUCGUGCCAGCAGCCGCGGUAA
rnacentral:rRNA from 1 species